GACAGAGGGUGCAAACGUUGCUCGGAAUUACUGGGCGUAAAGCGCGUGUAGGCGGGACGAUAAGUCAGGUGUGAAAUCCCUAGGCUCAACCUAGGAACUGCAUUUGAAACUGUCGGCCUUGAGUGAUGGAGAGGAUGGCGGAAUUCCUGGUGUGGAGGUGAAAUUCGUAGAUAUCAGGAGGAACACCGGUGGCGAAGGCGGCCAUCUGGAAAUCUACUGACGCUGAGACGCGAAAGCGUGGGUAGCAAACAGG
rnacentral:rRNA from 1 species